UACGGAGGGGACUAGCGUUGUUCGGAAUUACUGGGCGUAAAGCGCACGUAGGCGGAUUUGUAAGUCAGGGGUGAAAUCCCGGGGCUCAACCUCGGAACUGCCUUUGAUACUGCAAAUCUCGAGUCCGGAAGAGGUGAGUGGAAUUCCCGGUGUAGUGGUGAAAUGCGUAGAUAUCGGGAGGAACACCAGUGGCGAAGGCGACUACCUGGCCUGUUCUUGACGCUGAGGCGCGAAAGCAUGGGGAGCGAACAGG
rnacentral:rRNA from 1 species